rnacentral:rRNA from 1 species
UGGGGAAUAUUGCGCAAUGGGCGAAAGCCUGACGCAGCGACGCCGCGUGGAGGAUGAAGGUCUUCGGAUUGUAAACUCCUGUCAGAUGGAAAGAAAGGUCUGCGUUUAAUAGACGUGGAAUAUGACGGUACCAUCAGAGGAAGCACCGGCUAACUUCGUGCCAGCAGCCGCGGUAAUACGAAGGGUGCAAGCGUUAUUCGGAAUCACUGGGCGUAAAGGGUGUGUAGACGGUCCAUUAAGUUCGUCGUUAAAGGCUCCGGCCUAACCGGAGUAUUGCGAUGAAAACUGGUGAGCUAGAGGGUGAGAGAGAGAAGUGGAAUUCCCGGAGUAGCGGUAAAAUGCGUGGAUCUCGGGAGGAACACCAAUGGCGAAGGCAGCUUCUUGGCUCAUUCCUGACGUUGAGGCACGAAAGCGUGGGGAGCAAACAGG